AGUUCUUUGAAAACUUGGCUGAUCUCUGGAUGGAGCCUUCCUGGUUUAACAGGAGUACAGACCAAUAGCAGCAGCACAAGAGCAAUUCAGUGGAGGCAUUGAUAGGCAUUAUCCAAAAAACAUGAUACAUGUAAUGUCUGUUGAGACAUUGAAAUAACUUGUAUGGAGUGGGUGGAUAUAAAUUCUAAAGACUACCUGGAUACAUCAAUGGCACUCUAUAGCCUGCAAGUAGGCCAAAGAACCAGUAGCAUUUUGCUCCAUGUGAAAAUGGCUUUUACAUCUACAGAAGGAUCACAGCAACUUCACCUGAGAGCUGCAACUUCUUCAUAUUUUAAAAUCUUCAAAAAAUAAACAUUAUUUUCUCUCCAGGAUUCAUUUAAGCAAUACUGCACAGGAUGAUCAAAGGUAAGGCUAUCAUGGAGAAAGCACAAACCUCUCAAGUUUCCUUCCUGUUGUUGCUAUGUUUUUGUUAGAUGCAUCAGUGUUUCCAUAGCCUCUUAACUGAACUACAUAAGUUAACUCAUAUAAAUAUAGUGUAUGCUAUAUAUAUAUAUAUAUAACCAAGGUGGGUUUUUUAUAUAACGUAUGGGUAUAUUCUGGGAUUAUAUAGAGCUGGGAAUACCACACUCUCAUGCCCCUGUACAGUGCAAAGAGAAACCUCAAGACCAAGGGGAAUUGGUCAGGCAGAAAUAUCCUUUCUCACAUUUCACAAUGGCAAAUACAACUGUUAAGUUUUUCUUUUUCCAUCUAGAGAGAUAUUAUAAAUAUAUCUGAGAAGGCACAGACUAAUCUCUUACAUACACCCUUGAUUCAGUUCAUCCCCUCUCUCCUUUGACACUGACUAUAGACUUCUUAGUCAUUUCAGUAAGUUUACAUUUUUUUCUUAGCUAUUUCCAACAAACCACAGUUACAUGGCAGGGAGAUGAAAGGUUGAGCAAGAUUCUCAGGGCUCAAGAGUAAAGUCCCUAACAAGGCACAGCUGAUCUACAGACAGACAGACAAAGAUAUCAACCAUGUGUUGAAAAUAAACAGUUGCAGUCAAUUCUCUGGUGAUGGUGAAAGGGGAAUACCACACUGGCAAUAUUGGAGCAGUGAGAACAACGCUGCCACUUCUAUGGACCUGCGUUAGUCCAGCGAUAGGAAUAUAUUGUUUAUGCAGUCCUAGUUCUUGUGUCUAAUCUGCUGUUCUCAUCAUCUCGACCUGACAUGAAUGGUUUUGAAAUCAUUUGUUCAUGUCAGAAUUGUGAUAGUAUCACAGUAAGGCAAUUCUGUCUGCAAAAGAACAGCUCUGACUGAUAGACAACAGAUAACCAGGGCCUGUAUGAUGAAAUAAGAAGUCUAUACAGUUUCAGGAAGCAAAUCUUCGACUCUUAUGCCCUGCAGCUUCCCAAAGGCAAGAGGCUGAGCAAUGCACUGUAGCAGAGGAAUUGCCCCCAGCACUAUGAUGGUGACCCUUCAGGUCAAUCAUCCCUGGACAAAAAAGCUAUUGCCAGCACAGCUAAGGUUUGGCAACGAUUUGGGAGCAAACUCUGGACCUGCAUCAACCAUUAGGGGUGAGAGAAGACUCUUAAAGGGAAAAAACCUGAAAGCUCAAGUAUCCAUUUUCCCCUAAGCAGAAAAGUUUUGGCAGUUUCUUUGUUUGUUUGUUUUUACAUUGGUAAUUGUAUUGUUUUUCCUGGCCUCGAUCCUAUCUUUCAGGAGGAAAGGGGAAAUUUUCACAAAAAGAAAAGAAAAUUUUAAUUAA